rnacentral:tRNA from 1 species
GGACUCGUAGUGUAGCCUGGUUAACACGCGUCCCUGUCAAGGACGAAACCGCCGGUUCAAAUCCGGUCGAGUCCG